UACAGAGGGUGCAAGCGUUGUUCGGAAUCAUUGGGCGUAAAGGGCGCGUAGGCGGCCGACCAAGUCGGAGGUGAAAUCCCUCGGCUCAACUGAGGAACUGCCUCCGAUACUGUUCGGCUUGAGUCCCGGAGAGGGUAGCGGAAUUCCGAGUGUAGCGGUGAAAUGCGUAGAUAUCAGGAGGAACACCGGUGGCGAAGGC
rnacentral:rRNA from 1 species